CUGCCUGAUGUAAGGGGAUAACUACUGGAAACAGUAGCUAAUACCGCAUAACUGUCGCAAGACCAAAGAGGGGGACCUUCGGGCCUCUUGCCAUCAGAUGUGCCCAGAUGGGAUUAGCUAGUAGGUGGGGUAACGGCUCACCUAGGCGACGAUCCCUAGCUGGUCUGAGAGGAUGACCAGCCACACUGGAACUGAGACACGGUCCAGACUCCUACGGGAGGCAGCAGUGGGGAAUAUUGCACAAUGGGCGCAAGCCUGAUGCAGCCAUGCCGCGUGUAUGAAGAAGGCCUUCGGGUUGUAAAGUACUUUCAGCGGGGAGGAAGGCGGUGAGGUUAAUAACCUCACCGAUUGACGUUACCCGCAGAAGAAACACUGCUAACUUCGUGCCUGCGGCCGCAGUAAUACGGAGGGUGCUUUCGUUUAUCUCCAAUUACUGGGCGUAAAGCGCAC
rnacentral:rRNA from 1 species